rnacentral:snoRNA from 1 species
CUGAUGUGGGAGCCCAGGAAGGCAUGCUCCCCAGGCCCUGUCCCAGUGGGGUGCCCAUGUGCUUUCCCUGUGAUGCACGGGUCCCUUCCACAAGGUAGGAGAGGAUGCACCUGCAGAUUCCUACAGCUUCUCAGAGUCCUGCGGACAAGGACCAUGGAGACAAACCAUGCAGGAAACAUGC